UCAAGCUUAGUUAUGAGAGUGGGGACA
rnacentral:piRNA from 1 species